rnacentral:rRNA from 1 species
AGUGAACGCUGGCGGUAGGCCUAACACAUGCAAGUCGAACGGCAGCACAGUAAGAGCUUGCUCUUACGGGUGGCGAGUGGCGGACGGGUGAGGAAUACAUCGGAAUCUACUUUUUCGUGGGGGAUAAUGUAGGGAAACUUACACUAAUACCGCAUACGACCUACGGGUGAAAGCAGGGGAUCUUCGGACCUUGCGCGAUUGAAUGAGCCGAUGUCGGAUUAGCUAGUUGGCGGGGUAAAGGCCCACCAAGGCGACGAUCCGUAGCUGGUCUGAGAGGAUGAUCAGCCACACUGGAACUGAGACACGGUCCAGACUCCUACGGGAGGCGGCAGUGGGGAAUAUUGGACAAUGGGCGCAAGCCUGAUCCAGCCAUACCGCGUGGGUGAAGAAGGCCUUCGGGUUGUAAAGCCCUUUUGUUGGGAAAGAAAAGCAGCAGGUUAAUACCCCGCUGUUCUGACGGUACCCAAAGAAUAAGCACCGGCUAACUUCGUG